GGCACUGUGGCUUAGUUGGUUAAAGCGCCUGUCUUGUAAACAGGAGAUCCUGAGUUCCGACCUUAGCAGCGCUU